AACAGAGAUUUUUAUUAUGACAAAAAACAAAAUGUUGGAAAGUCUUUUGAUUAUAGAGAGGAAAACUAUACUUUGAGAAGGGAAGUGAAUUAUCCCAAAUUAUUCCAGCGACUAUCAGGAGAUCCAGACCUCCUGAAUUCCAGUGCAGAGUCUCUCUCUUAAGCUACUGUAGUACGAAGACAUACAGCAGAAAUGGUGAAGCUGGAGAAGAAUUGCUGUCCGACUGCACGUGAAGGUGCUGUCCAAGUCAUCCUGUCCAGAUACUGGUUUGAGGCCUAUGUGGUAGCUUGAAUAAAUAGGURUUCCCCCUGGGCUUUGGAGACAAGUUCACUAGAUGUGAAUCUCAUAAAAGUUGUCUUCCUAACCUAUAAAAAAGUGAUAAAAUGGAUACAGCUCUGGAGUUCCACAAUACAAUGCAGUUCUCAGUCACUGAGUGAUAGAAAGUGCUUGUCACUGAAAAGAGGGGAAAAGGGUGGAAUUAAUCCUACUUUAUCAGAUGUGCAUCCUUUAUUGUUCARUGUGCUGUUAUUACAUGGUUCGGUAGAGUUUUUGUUGUGUUUUAGACACUAGUUGAUAAGAAGGCAUAGCAAACCACAGAUUUGGGAAGUUCAACAUGAGCAGACAUUAUCUCGUGUCCCUUCCAAAACUGUUAAAUUUUGUAAGCUUGCCAAUGUCAUCUCUGGCAAAAAUCAGAAAUCUAACUCAAAACAAAUUAAUUCUUYAAAACUGAAUGAAUGGAUGACUGAUAGAGUCAAAUGCAUAUMUUUUCCUCUCUGUAGAUGUUUAUUUUUGCACAAAUUGCAAUAAUAUUCUUUUAUUUCUUGUUUGUUUGAGACUCUAACCAAAUGUUAGAAUGACUGAGGUACAGACCUAUAAACUUCAUUGAUGAUGGAAAAGACACACAUAAUUAACUGAUCUUCCAAAUUGCUGUGUCUAGAGAAGGAUUAAUGGACCAGUCUAUCCACUGUUUAGGAGUCUGUCAAGAACAUUUUGAGAAUACUAUAUGGUUGUUUUAGUUAAUAAUAGGAGUAUUAGCUUACUGAAUUGAUUUUCAGAUAAUUUAUAGGUGGAAAUUGCAUCACUAUGAAUGUAAUAUGAUGACUAUAUUUAUAUGAAACCUAAGAAAGGUCUGGAAUUAAUAUGUGAUACUUUGCUGGGAGUGCGACUGGUUCCAUUUACAUCUAUUAAGUUUAACAUAUUUUGUAAGCAAUAUAAUAUUUCAAAGACAUGCUCUCCACCAGUCG